rnacentral:rRNA from 1 species
UCUGGAAACUGUNUGACUUGAGUGCAGAAGGGGAUAGUGGAAUUCCAUGUGUAGCGGUGAAAUGCGUAGAUAUAUGGAGGAACACCAGUGGCGAAAGCGGCUCUCUGGUCUGUCACUGACGCUGAGGCUCGAAAGCGUGGGUAGCGAACAGGAUUAGAUACCCUGGUAGUCCACGCCGUAAACGAUGAGUGCUAGGUGUUAGGCCCUUUCCGGGGCUUAGUGCCGGAGCUAACGCAAUAAGCACUCCGCCUGGGGAGUACGACCGCAAGGUUGAAACUCAAAGGAAUUGACGGGGGCCCGCACAAGCGGUGGAGCAUGUGGUUUAAUUCGAAGCAACGCGAAGAACCUUACCAGGUCUUGACAUCCAGACGCUAUUCUUAGAGAUAGGAAGUUACUUCGGUACAUCGGAGACAGGUGGUGCAUGGUUGUCGUCAGCUCGUGUCGUGAGAUGUUGGGUUAAGUCCCGCAACGAGCGCAACCCUUAUUGUUAGUUGCCAUCAUUAAGUUGGGCACUCUAGCGAGACUGCCGGUAAUAAACCGGAGGAAGGUGGGGAUGACGUCAAAUCAUCAUGCCCCUUAUGACCUGGGCUACACACGUGCUACAAUGGUCGGUACAACGAGUUGCGAGCCGGUGACGGCAAGCUAAUCUCUGAAAGCCGAUCUCAGUUCGGAUUGGAGGCUGCAACUCGCCUCCAUGAAGUCGGAAUCGCUAGUAAUCGCGGAUCAGCACGCCGCGGUGAAUACGUUCCCGGGCCUUGUACACACCGCCCGUCACACCACGAGAGUUUGUAACACCCGAAGUCGNUGAGGUA